rnacentral:rRNA from 1 species
AAUACGGAGGAUGCAGGCGUUAUCCGGAUUUAAUAGGUUUAAAGGGUGUUCAGGCUGUCUGGUAAGUCAGAGGUGAAAGUCGGUUGCUUAACGAUCGAAUUGCCUUUGAAACUGUCAGACUUGAGUAUGGAUGCGGUAGNCGGAAUGUGUAGUGUANCGGUGAAAGGCAUAGAUAUUACACAGAACACCGAUUGCGAAAGCAGCUUACCAAACCAGCACUGACGCUGAAGCACGAAAGCGUGGGUAGCGAACAGGAUUAGAUACCCUGGUAGUCCACGCAGUAAACGAUGCUCACUCGCUGUUGGCAAUAGAUCGUCAGCGGCUAAGGGAAACCGAUAAGUGAGCCACCUGGGGAGUACGAUCGCAAGAUUGAAACUCAAAGGAAUUGACGGGGGCCCGCACAAGCGGUGGAACAUGUGGUUUAAUUCGAUGAUACGCGAGGAACCUUACCUGGGCUUAAAUGUACGAUGCAUAAGUGUGAAAGCACUUUUUCCUUCGGGACUUUGUACAAGGUGCCGCACGGUUGUCGUCAGCUCGUGCCGUGAGGUGUCGGGUUAAGUCCCAUAACGAGCGCAACCCCUGUUGUUAGUUACCAGCGCGUAAAGGCGGGGACUCUAGCGAAACUGCCGGUGUAAACCGCGAGGAAGGUGGGGAUGACGUCAGGUCAGCACGGCCCUUAUGUCCAGGGCUACACACGUGUUACAAUGGCCGGUACAGCGGGCAGCGAGGCAGCGAUGCCGAGCGAAUCUCGAAAGCCGGUCCCAGUUCGGAUUGGAGUCUGCAACCCGACUCCAUGAAGGUGGAAUCGCUAGUAAUCGCGCAUCAGCCAUGGCGCGGUGAUACGUUCCCGGGCCUUGUACACACCGCCCGUCAAGCCAUGGAAGUCUGNGGGUGCACUGAAGGCACGUAACACGCGAGNGAGCGGUCUAGGGUAAAACAGAUGACAGGGGCUAAGUCGUA